UUAAGUGAUCCACCUGGGGAGUACGUCGGCAACGAUGUAACUCUAAGGAAUUGACGUGGGCCCGCACAAGCGGUGGAACAUGUGGUUUAAUUCGAUGAUACGCGAGGAACCUUACCUGGGCUUAAAUGUAGCCGGACGAUUCCGGAAACGGGAUAUCCUUAACGGCUGGUUACAAGGUGCUGCAUGGCUGUCGUCAGCUCGUGCCGUGAGGUGUCGGGUUAAGUCCCAUAACGAGCGCAACCCUUAUUCUUAGUUGCCAGCGGGUAGAGCCGGGGACUCUAAGGAGACUGCCACCGUAAGGUGUGAGGAAGGUGGGGAUGACGUCAAGUCAGCACGGCCCUUACGUCCAGGGCUACACACGUGUUACAAUGGCCGGUACAGAAGGCAGCAAACUUGAGAGAGGGCGCGAAUCCAUGAAAGCCGGUCUCAGUUCGGAUUGGAGUCUGCAACCCGACUUCAUGAAGUUGGAAUCGCUAGUAAUCGCGCAUCAGCAAUGGCGCGGUGAAUACGUUCCCGGGCCUGUACACACCGCCCGUCAAGCCAUGGAAGCCGGGGUACCUGAAGUCCGUACCGCAAGGGCGGCCGAGGUAAA
rnacentral:rRNA from 1 species